AAGUCAAGGUUUGCUCAGAGAAAUCUUCCCAGAAAAGAUAUUUGAAAAAAAUUAAAUUGGAAAUUUGAUUUUGGAACAAUAAAUAAUAAAUAAUCAGCCUAAAAAGCAAAUCAUUAGGGAGCAUGUUAUUGACAGAACAUAAGUAAAAGCUUAAAGACAUUAGAGAAGCACAGAAUAUUCAGGUACAGUAUGCAGUUCUUGAAUUGAGUAAUUCAAGAAGGGAAGAAUGGUGGAAGAUGAAGCUAUCAAGGGACUCGGGGUUACCUUGGAUUAUUCAAGGUUAUUGUGACUCCUGAUUCGGCUCCAGAGACAAGACAGAUAUUCUUAUUCUGUCUGCCUUCCAGAGAGAUGAUAUGAAUAAGAGGAUACAAGAUAAAGAGGUCUCUAGUAUUUUGCUAUUUUUAACCAUUGGAUGUUGCAGACAAGAACACUGAACAUUUAUGUUGCCUGGCCUGGUGAAACCAAGUUACUUUUCGCUGAGUCUCAUAUUCCGAGUGUAAAACAGAGGAAUAUAUUGAUUUUCUUUUGAGGAGACUUUGGAUAUCAAUUUCUUGUUAAGGACCCUGAAACUAGACCUGGAUAUUUCAUGGAAGCAAGAAGCAGAAAGACCACAGUGAAGAAAACAGAUGACUUUUCCUAAAUUCUGUCUUAUAAUGUUCCAGCAGGUGGACAGAGUACAGUGACAACAAUGUAAGGAGAAGAUAUUAAGAAAUCAAGGCACGGAUAUAUGUCUUGAAAGUCUGUCCAUAAAUGGCAUGAA